rnacentral:rRNA from 1 species
GCAUAUCAAUAAGCGGAGGAAAAGAAACCCAACAGGGGAUUGCCCUUAGUAACGGCGAAGUGAAGCGGCAACAGCUCAAAUUUGAAAUCUGGCUCUCGGGCCCGAGUUGUAAUUUGUAGAGGAUACUUUUGAUGCGGUGCCUUCCGAGUUCCCUGGAACGGGACGCCAUAGAGGGUGAGAGCCCCGUCUGGUUGGAUGCCAAAUCUCUGUAAAGUUCCUUCAACGAGUCGAGUAGUUUGGGAAUGCUGCUCUAAAUGGGAGGUAUAUGUCUUCUAAAGCUAAAUACCGGCCAGAGACCGAUAGCGCACAAGUAGAGUGAUCGAAAGAUGAAAAGCACUUUGAAAAGAGAGUUAAAAAGUACGUGAAAUUGUUGAAAGGGAAGCGUUUAUGACCAGACUUGGGCUUGGUUAAUCAUCUGGGGUUCUCCCCAGUGCACUUUUCCAGUCCAGGCCAGCAUCAGUUUUCCCCGGGGGAUAAAGGCGGCGGGAAUGUGGCUCUCUUCGGGGAGUGUUAUAGCCCACCGUGUAAUACCCUGGGGGGGACUGAGGUUCGCGCAUCUGCAAGGAUGCUGGCGUAAUGGUCAUCAACGACCCGUCUUGAAACACGGACCAAGGAGUCGUCUUCGUAUGCGAGUGUUCGGGUGUCAAACCCCUACGCGUAAUGAAAGUGAACGCAGGUGAGAGCUUCGGCGCAUCAUCGACCGAUCCUGAUGUUCUCGGAUGGAUUUGAGUAAGAGCAUACGGGGCCGGACCCGAAAGAAGGUGAACUAUGCCUGUAUAGGGUGAAGCCAGAGGAAACUCUGGUGGAGGCUCGCAGCGGUUUCUGACGUGCAAAUCGAUCGUCAAAUAAUGGGCAUGGGGGCGAAAGACUAAUCGAACCUUCUAGUAGCUGGUUUCCGCCGAA